CCUUCGGGCUUUUUGUUACUUACCAGAGGGUAACCGUGAUAAUGGAAAACUAGGCGAGUUCCGUAGAGCUACCUUCCCUGUGUUAAAAGCAUGCGAAGAAAAGCCCCAAGACCGGUGCCAGCCGCCGCGGUAAUACCGGCGGCUCGAGUGGUGGCCACUAUUACAGGGAUUAAGGGGUUCGUAGCUGGGUCGUUAAGUCUCUUGGGAAAUCUACCGGCUUAACCGAUAGGCGUCCAAGGGAUACUGGCGUUCUCGGGACCGGGAGAGGGGAGGGGUACUUCAGGGGUAGGAGUGAAAUCCUGUAAUCCUUGGGGGACCACCUGUGGCGAAGGCGCCUCACCAAAACGGCUCCAACAGUGAGGGACGAAAGCUGGGGUAUUAAACCGGAUUAAAUACCCGGGUAGUCCCAGCCGUAUACGAUGCUCGUUAGGUGCCAGCCAUGGGGCGCCCGUUUCUGUGGCCGCAGGAAACCCGUGAAACGAGCCCCCUGGGAGAAACGCCCCCAAGGUGGAAACUUAAAGGAAUUGGGGGGGAAAGGGGAAUUCUUUUUAACCUGCAGGACUGUUCCCUUUAUGGGGUUAUUUCUGAGCUUGGGAAAUCAUGGCAAAGCUGUUCCGG
rnacentral:rRNA from 1 species